CAUGCAAGUCGAGCGAAUCUCAGGGAGCUUGCUCCCUGAGAUUAGCGGCGGACGGGUGAGUAACACGUGGGCAACCUGCCUAUAAGACUGGGAUAACUUCGGGAAACCGGAGCUAAUACCGGAUACGUUCUUUUCUCGCAUGAGAGAAGAUGGAAAGACGGUUUACGCUGUCACUUAUAGAUGGGCCCGCGGCGCAUUAGCUAGUUGGUGAGGUAAUGGCUCACCAAGGCGACGAUGCGUAGCCGACCUGAGAGGGUGAUCGGCCACACUGGGACUGAGACACGGCCCAGACUCCUACGGGAGGCAGCAGUAGGGAAUCUUCCGCAAUGGACGAAAGUCUGACGGAGCAACGCCGCGUGAACGAAGAAGGCCUUCGGGUCGUAAAGUUCUGUUGUUAGGGAAGAACAAGUACCAGAGUAACUGCUGGUACCUUGACGGUACCUAACCAGAAAGCCACGGCUAACUACGUGCCAGCAGCCGCGGUAAUACGUAGGUGGCAAGCGUUGUCCGGAAUUAUUGGGCGUAAAGCGCGCGCAGGUGGUUCCUUAAGUCUGAUGUGAAAGCCCACGGCUCAACCGUGGAGGGUCAUUGGAAACUGGGGAACUUGAGUGCAGAANAGGAAAGUGGAAUUCCAAGUGUAGCGGUGAAAUG
rnacentral:rRNA from 1 species